rnacentral:rRNA from 1 species
CGAAGGUGGCGAAUGUUGCUCGGAUUCACUGGGCGUAAAGCGUCUGUAGGUGGCUUGUUAAGUUAGAGGUGAAAGCCCCGCGCUCAACGUGGGAACUGCCUUUAAAACUGGCGAGCUUGAGAGUAUCAGAGGAAGGCGGAAUAACUGGUGUAGAGGUAAAAUUCAUAGAUAUCAGUUGGAACAUCCAUGGCGAAGGCAGCUUUCUGGGAUAUUUCUGACACUGAGAGACGACAGCGUGGGGAGCAAACAGGAUUAGAUACCCUGGUAGUCCACGCCGUAAACGAUGCAUACUCGUUGUCGGGUUCGCUACAGAACUCGGUGACUUAGCUAACGCGGUAAGUAUGCCGCCUGGGGAUUACGGCCGCAAGGUUA